UACGAAGGGGGCUAGCGUUGUUCGGAAUUACUGGGCGUAAAGCGCACGUAGGCGGAUCGAUCAGUCAGGGGUGAAAUCCCAGGGCUCAACCUUGGAACUGCCUUUGAUACUGUCGAUCUGGAGUAUGGAAGAGGUGAGUGGAAUUCCGAGUGUAGAGGUGAAAUUCGUAGAUAUUCGGAGGAACACCAGUGGCGAAGGCGGCUCACUGGUCCAUUACUGACGCUGAGGUGCGAAAGCGUGGGGAGCAAACAGG
rnacentral:rRNA from 1 species